AUUGAACGCUGGCGGCAUGCCUUACACAUGCAAGUCGAACGGUAACAGGUUAAGCUGACGAGUGGCGAACGGGUGAGUAAUGUAUCGGAACGUGCCCAGUCGUGGGGGAUAACUGCUCGAAAGAGCAGCUAAUACCGCAUACGACCUGAGUGUGAAAGCGGGGGAUCGCAAGACCUCGCGCGAUUGGAGCGGCCGAUAUCAGAUUAGGUAGUUGGUUAGGUAAAGGCUCACCAAGCCGACGAUCUGUAGCUUGUCUGAGAGGACGACCAGCCACACGGGAACUGAGACACGGCACAGACUCCUACGGAAGGCAGCAGUGGGGAAUUUUGGACAAUGGGCGCAAGCCUGAUCCAGCCAUGCCGCGUGCGGGAAGAAGGCCUUCGGGUUGUAAACCGCUUUUGUCAGGGAAGAAAAGGUUCUGGCUAAUACCUGGGACUCAUGACGGUACCUGAAGAAUAAGCACCGGCUAACUACGUGCCAGCCGCCGCCGUAA
rnacentral:rRNA from 1 species